GCAGAGAGAGGGUGAAGAGAGGAUAGAAGAACGAGAGCGGAGAGAGGGAGGAGAGCAGACAGAGAGGGAACAAGGCAGUCGGCUGAUUCACCACCCACCCCUCCAUCCAUCCCUUCUUUCUCUUUCUCCUCUUCUGCUUCAGUGACGGGGUAGUGGAGGUGUGUGUGGGAAAGGAAACCCUCCCUCCCUCCACACACAAACAGACCACUGAUCCUAAUCCCUUCCACCUGCCUCCAUCCCUCUCACUUCUCCCAUUGUCAUUACUACCUCCAGCUCUGUCUCAUUCCUUCUCACCCCAUCCCAUCAUCCCAUCUAUCUCUCUAUCGCUCUUUCUUUCUCUCCAGCCCCCACGCCCUUCUAACCCACACGCUCUGUGUCACCACCGUGGUGAAGAAAAUGAUCGGCGAACAAGCUGGAAAAGGUAGAGGAGAGGACAGAGAGAGGAGAAGGAGAGGAAGAGUGAACUCUGUCCAUUCAAAACAAUCCAGACUUUCCCGUUUCCCUGAUGGAUUAUCGCCGGCCCCACGGACAGAAGGAGUGGAGGAGAAAAGAAAAAGACCAAUAGAGGAAGAGAGCAUACAAGAAUUGAGCUCUGGACAGCCAGUUCGCCUAAAGGUCUUGUCUGCAGGCUGUGUUGGGACUCUGGCUAAUUGUGGAGUAUUCUCAGGACUCCAGCGGAGGAGAGAGAUGCUUUCUCUUUCUGUUCAUUCUAAUUAAUUGCCCUCUAUGCAAACACUCAAAGAGACUUUCACUUUGAGGGCGAUAAUUUCAUAUUCUGUUCAUAUCAGUAUUUUCCAUUUGUUUUUCCCACACAUACUGUACCUGUAGGCUGCCACUCAAAAAAGAAAGAAAAAAACAUACAAAAACUCUCUGACAUCCCCAGGGUGUUUGGGAGUGGGUGUACAUGGAAAUGAGAGAAUGAACGUGAGAGUGAGAGAUAAAACAUAAUAGUGUGGAGUCUACUAGAAAUAAGUAUUUCCCAGAGUGGUGUGAGGGAAGAAAGAAAGGAAAAUACUAUUUUCACCUCAGGUCUAACCAGUGCUGUGGAUAGACAGAGUAAGACAUCGGUCCCUGCUCAUCGGUCCCUGCUCAUACAACACCGAGACUGAGAAGAAUGCACAAGACUGAGGAGAGAACGGACGGACAAACACACAGACAAGUCAGCCCUCCGACCCCAAUCGCAUUCUGGUCCAUCUCUGUUAGGGUACAGCGCCCUACACACACAUACACACUCUCACUUAUACACACACUUAUGCACACACUCAUACACAGACACAAAAGAACCUUGGCUUCGUCUGGGACCCUUUUCUUUUUAGAAUUAUUUAUUUUCUAGCACCCAUUUUUCCCUCUCUCUGCCCCCUUCUCUCCCUGUCUCUCUCUUUAAUCUCUCCUCCAUCUCUCCAUAUAGACUCUGAGAACACCAUAUCUCCACUACACAGACCUCUACACUUCCUGAUUCUUACAUUGAUUGGUCUUUCAGUUCCUCCCUUCUACAUAUCUCUACUUCUCUUCCUCUCCCUUUACCUCUUUUUCUCACCGUUCUUCUUCCUCUCCUUUUCUCUCUCUGUCUCUCUCCCUCUCUCACACUCCUUUUCUUUCCUGCCCCCCUCGGCACACCUCACUCCCUCUCUCUUCUCCUACCGCUCCCUCACUUGCCCGGUCUCAUUGUCUUCACAAACAGCAGUGUUAGUGUGUGUGUGUACGGGGGAACCAAUCCAUUCUGCAGUGGAGCCACGGAGCACAGGGGAGCCUGAGGUACUACAUGUGUCUCAAUCAAACCAUGCCCCAGUUCACCUUUGCCUGUUUCUGUGGUCUGCACGGCUUCUGCCGGAGACGGACAAAGAAUAAAAAUAAGAAAAGGGAGGAACAAGUGGAGAUG